GACGAACGCUGGCGGCGUGCCUAAUACAUGCAAGUCGAACGCAGUGGGGACGGGUGAGUAACACGUGGGUAACCUCCCAUCAGAGGGGAUAACACUUGGAAACAGGUGCUAAACCGAUACUGAUGGAUGGACACGCGGUGCAUUAGCUAGUUGGUGGGGUAACGGCUCACCAGGGCCACGAUGCAUAGCCGACCUGGGAGGUUGACGGGCCACACUGUGACUGAGACACGCCCCAGCUUCCGACGGUAGGCAGCAGUAGGGAAUCUUCGUCAAUGGACGAAAGUCUGACCGAGCAACGCCGCGUGAGUGAAGAAGGUUUUCGGAUCGUAAAACUCUGUUGUUAGGGAAGCGGUAUCUAACCAGAAAGCAACGGCUAACUACGUGCCAGCAGCCGCGGUAAUAC
rnacentral:rRNA from 1 species